AGUUAAUUAACUUAUAAAAGUAUAUAUUUUGAAAAUAUUAUUAAGAUAUUAAAUUAUCUAUUAACUU
rnacentral:tRNA from 1 species